CCAUAUCACAUUGAAACACCAGUUCUCUUAUGAUCACCAAAAUUAAGUAACAUCAAGCCUGGUCAGUACCUAGAUGGGUAAUCACUUGGGAAUAACAGGUGCUGUAAG